UUGUUAAAAACCGAAUUUGUUAAAAACCGAAUUUAAAUUCGGUUUUUAACAAG
rnacentral:tRNA from 1 species